rnacentral:misc_RNA from 1 species
UUAAAGUAAUGAAACUUUUUAAAUUGAUGUUCAUCUCUCUACAUUACAAAAGAAUACAAUAAGCACAUUCCUAAUCAUCCAUGUAAAAUUGGAAAACUGAUACUAGAUUUCCGCUUCUUGAUUCUCUCCAUGUUUCUCUAGAACUCAUACAAGAAACUGAACAUGCCUAGUCUGUUCUCCAACAUUAAAAUUUUCAAGGGAAAAAAAAAAUAUAUAAGUUAAAAAUCUAAUGAAGGAAUGUCAUUGAACAAAUGCAACUCAACAGAAAUGAAUGGCCUAUCAAGGGAACUGGAAUGAGCCUCCAAUUUGGUCAGUAUUAGAGGGUGGAUUAAUAGCCACCCAAAGGAGGGAUAUGGUGAUUGCGAUAAGUCCUGACCACACAAAAACAAUGGUCGGUGUACUUCCUCGUCUUCCCAUCAGCCCUUUCGCGAAGGGGUAGAGAUGAGCCAAGACCCAGAAACUGAAGAAAACCCCACCUAACAGACGGCUCCACUGCGGUAUGACGCUGUAUAUUGUGCGGCUAACUCCAACAGCUAUUGCAAUUAAGUUGACCAUCAUGAUCACAAUUGGUGGUAUCAUCAAAGAUGUCCAUUUGACAAGGUAAAGGUCAGCAAACUCAUCAUCCACAUCAUCACCAGCUGAUUUUGACGUCAAGGUAAAAGAAAUUUCAAUUCCUGCAAUAACUUUCAGCAACCCCUGAAGCACAGCAGCCAAGUGGGCGCUAGUCCCUCCAAUUAACCAAAACUGUUCAUUUCUCCACCACUCCUCUAGUGCAAUGCCAGACCAUUUGAUCUCAAGCAAAGCAAGUAAACAUAGAGUCAGAGAGAUCACAAGUAGGUACACAAGGAAAGUAACAUUAAGGGUCUGGACAAUGAACUGGCCGGAGAAGAGGGACAGUGCAGGUAGGAAGCAGUAGACAAUCAGAAAGAUGGAAGUAAAUGGGUAGAUACCAACAUUGAGAUAUGCUAUCCUCUGCAGAAAUUUCAUUCUCGGGCUGGCCAGAAGGGCAUUGUUGCGAGAGAAGAAAAUCUCAACCGAACCAGUAGCCCACCUGAGGACUUGAUGAAGCCUGUCUGUGAGAUUGAUUGGUGCAGUUCCACGGAAGGCAUCACGCUUGGUGACGCAAUAAACUGAUUUCCAUCCCCUGUUGUGCAUCCUAUAACCAGUGACAACAUCUUCAGUAACAGACCCAUAAAUCCACCCAACUCGCUGUCCCCACUCUGUCUUAUCUUCGUACCAGCAAGAGAUGACACUGACUGCCUCUGCAACAGUUGAAGCAUCAAGAAGUUCACGAGGAAUGGUAAGGGCACCAGGUGGGCGUCCAUUCUUAACAGCUGGGUGAUCAGCAAGGGGGCGACCUUGAAACUCUGCCACUGGGAUUGAAUCAAUGAGGAAUGUCGAGUUGCCAAACAUCUUUGGGAACUGGGAGAGGUUCAUCUCUUCAUCAUCAGAAUCACCCAUUCUUAAUGCCCUGUUCUCUUCUGGGUUGUUUCCAACAGAAGAAUGCUUCUUGCGACGGGUAAAGCAAGAGCUGAAGCAACCUGGGUGAUGUUCUUUUGCUCGAGGAGGAUCAAAGCCAUACAGGGCAGUCCUUCUAAAGAGACAUCCCGUUCCAACAUAAACUGGCCCCAUAAGACCAUCAAGGGCACGCAUAUUGACAUCAAAGAAAACAGUGUUGUGAUUAGCAUAUCGAUCAGAAGGGUCAAUACCCUCAAACCUCUGAGGGAACUGAACAUAACAGAUGCGGUCACCUCCUCGAUCCAUCAUGAAGCACAUGCCUUCUCUCAUUGCUUGGGAGUUGUAAAUGUAAUGAUCACAAUCAAGGUUGAGAAUGAACGGGCCAUUAGACAUAAUGGCUGAGGCUCUAACAAGCGCAUUCAUGGCCCCUGCCUUCUUGUUGUGAUCAUAGCCAGGACGUUUCUCGCGAGAAACAUAAACGAGUAGUGGUAGACGAAUAUCAACAUCAGUAAAAUCCAUGAUCCUUGUAUCAUCAGCAUUUCCAUGCAGUGGUUCAUCACUAGGAGGUUUCAACAUCACCUGUAUUAUACCAGCAUGGUCACCCCUAGAAUGCUCAGGAGCAGGAUGCAUCCAAGUCCCUGGCCAGUGGGUACCAUCAGCCAUCCACGUAGCUUUUGGAAUCUUUACGCUCUCCACAGUUUCAUCAUCUCUAUUCUGUCUUUGAAGUUUCAUUGCUUUGAUUUCCUCACGAGCAUGAUAGGCAUCAGAUCGGCGGCGAAUAGAAUCAGGCAAGCCAUUGAUUCGGACCUUGAACUCAUCAUAUUCACGCUUUGCUCUCCUGCGAUCCUUGACAAAAUCAGGGCGCACUUUGUUCUUAUAAGGAUCCCUCUUCAAAGUGAAGUAAGACUCUGGAUUUCUGGGCUCAAUGCCAUGUUUACGGCAGAAGGGAACCCAAAUAUUAGCAAAACUUGCUGCUUCUGCCAUGGCCUCAAAUGUUAGAAGCGCACCUCCAUCAUCAGAAACAUAACAAGAAAGUUUUUCAACAGGGUAAUCAGCAGCAAGGAUUGACAAAAUAGUGUUUGCAGUGACAAGAGGUGGUUCUUUCUCUGGAUCUGCAGUAGAGACGUAGACAUCUAUGCCUGGGAGAUCAGAUUUACCUGUGGGGUUACUUGGAUUCGGUGUUUCAAAUUUCUCCUUCAAGACAUUAAGAUCUGUGGCCCGAUUGAUUGGGCAUAGCUUGGGAAGUUGGUCAAGAAGCCAGGAAAAAGCAAACCAUAUCUCACAAACAACCGACAUUCCCCACAGCCAGAUUGCAUCAUUGUUUUGAUGUCUAACUCUCCAUGUCAGAAACAAACCAAGGACCACAAUCCGAAUAAAAAUGAGCAGCCUAUAUGGGCUGAUAACAGCAGCUGGUAUCUUUAAUUUCCGGGUAAGUGGCCUCCAUGGUUUACUCAUCAACUCUUUGGAUUCAGCAACAUCUUCAUCUGUCCCAUUGCCAAAACCCCCAUCACUUGGCCAUAUAGCAUUCCCAUAUCCAUAAGUCCCCCUUGUUUCAAACAACCACCUAUUAUGAUCAAAAUCCCCAGUCUGGCUCCUCAUGAGGACUGACUUUGUUGACUUCAUCAAUGACAACCUCCUUUCCAUUUUGGACACUGUCCCAGGUGGAGGGAGUGGAAGUGGCCUCCCAUUAUCGGCAGCUACUUCAUCCAAUUCAGUGUUCUUAUAAGGUUCCUUACAACCAGGGCAAAUUCCACCCCCUGUUUUCACUGCGUCUAUAUAGCAAUCUCGACAUAUUUUAAAAUCACACUCGCAAGGGAGAAUAUCCACACCACGUUCAUCACUCAUGACCUUGGCAUCACAGCCUGGAAUUGAACAAGAGGAACCCUUGGCACCAGCCAUCUGGGGAUGGCUCGUUUCAGAAUCAAUCACCUUGUCCAUUAGAUGAGCCCGUGUGACACUAUUAAACCCACCUGUAAAGAGUGAAUUAGACACAUAUUGCUCUUCAACCUUCUGUGAGAUAGAUGGAUCCAUGGGUUGGUUAUCAGGGGUUGGUGGUAUAUGCACUGUAUAGUUCAUGAAAUCACUACUCCCAAGUUCGCUAUCAAGAUCAUCCCUGGAGUAGCUGAUAUAGCGACCUGAAGAAGUUCUUCUUCCAAAUGUCACAGUUGGAGGCAGUGGAGGCUUCUGAGAGUCAGCAGCAUCCGAGCUGACCGAUAAAUUUGAUCGGCUAAGUUUAAAUGAUUUUGAGGCCAUAUUUUAUUAUUAACACAGAGGUAUCUUCAGAUCCUGAAAUUUCAUCAUACACAAAAAUAUAAAAAUUAAAACCAGAUAGCCCAAUUUCUAUUAAGAUUAAAUAUAGAACAAUUAAAUCAAAUGCUUCACGCGUUAACUGUAGACCAGAAAAUCUAUAACCAUAAUUUCAAUGUCUACAUCUUACAACACGCAAAAAACAGAGCACAAAAUUAAUGUUGCCAAAACGUCAUUUCAAAAGGUUUCAAAUUCAGUCCAAAUCUCUACGCGGUAAUAGACCAAUUUGCAGAGUAGCGACAGACCAUCUACAAACGCUGUUUGGCUUAGGAACAACCAAAUUUUGGUCCAAAAACUUGCAACAAACGACCGGCAGAGUAACAACAGACUUAGCUGAUUAAAUCCUUCUACUUGUCGUUUACUAGAAUCUACAAACAAUAGUAACAUUCAAGACCAAAAUAUUUUCUUACAUUUUCUCCGCAAUUAAACAAAAUCAUCAUUGCAAAAACCCCAUAAUUAGUUGAAAUCAGCAGAAAAUGAACACAUUUCAAAGAACAUGAAAGAAACCAAACGCACAACUGACAGAUCGUCAUGAACGGAACAAACUUAAGAGCAAAAUGAAAUCAAACCCAGAUCCCAAAUCCCCACAACAACAUCGUAGUAGUCACUCUGAAAACCCAAGAUCCCAAAUCACAUUUUAUUAGCGCUAAAACUAAAAAGAAAGCCCCUUCAACGGCAGAACAUGUGCACCUUUAAGCAAGAAAAGAUGGAUCCAUAUUUUCAAACCAAUAAACUGCAGAUCGUGAACACAGAGCUACAGAUACGAAAAAGACUUACCUUCUGUUUAUAAAACAGGAAAGGAUCUUUAAGGAAGAACGGAUCUCUUUGUUUGAUUCUAUCAAAGCUUUAAAAAAGACUAAACGGCAAAACUUGAACCAAUCUUUAAAAUGAGAAAAAAAAAACGAAUGCUUCAACGUCACCAACUGUCCACAGUUUCUCACAUAUAGAUAAAGAAAAGAAGAAGAUUUCUUAGUAGAAAGACCGAGUCGUGAGAGCACAACUACAAGCCACUAACAGGGCAUAAUGGUGACUAAAUAACUUAUUUAAUACAAAAGCUUUGCUGGGUAAGUGUUGUUAUUUUAAAUUAAAUAUAAAAAAGAGAAGGUUCUUGGGUUUGAGGCCAAAGAAGAACAUGCAAAAGAAUAAAAAGGAAGUGGGUUUAUGUGGGUCGCCGGCCAGUAACGCAGGACCUGACCGGCUGUAUUUUUUUGAUGUUUGUUGGGGGUUAGAGAGGAAUGGGUGUGGACAAGAU